ACAGGGCGCCAAGUCGGGGGGGGUAGACGCGAAACCGAGUGAUCUACCCUUGGCCAGGUUGAAGGUUGGGUAACACCAACUGGAGGACCGGAUGGGUAAGCGUUGAAAAGCUUUCCAAUGAGCUGAGGGUAGGGGUGAAAGGCUAAUCAAACUCGGAGAUAGCUCGUACUCCCCGAAAUGCAUUUAGGUGCAGCCUCUUUAUAGUAUAUCGUGAGGUAGAGCGACUGAUUGGAUGCGAGGGCUUCACCGCCUAUCAAGUCCAGAUAAACUCCGAAUGCGCGAUAUAUAUUUACAGGGAGUGAGGGCGCGGGUGCUAAGGUCCGUGUCCGAGAGGAGAAGAAUCCAGACCACCGGCUAAGGCCCCCAAAUGAUCGUUAAGUUGAACUAACGAGGUCGGAUCGCAGAGACAGCUAGGAUGUUGGCUUGGAAGCAGCCAUUCAUUUAAAGAGUGCGUAACAGCUCACUAGUCGAGCGAUCUGGCGUGGAUAAUAAUCGGGCAUAAACGAUCUGCCGAAGCCGUGGAUGUCGCAAGACAUGGUAGGGGAGCAUUCCAUGCCGCGUCGAAGAUGAGGGAUGACCCUUGUUGGAGCGCAUGGAAAAGCAAAUGUAGGUAUGAGUAACGAUAAGGGGGGCGAGAAACCCCCCCGCCGAAAGACCAAGGUUUCCUGAUCAACGCUAAUCGGAUCAGGGUGAGUCGGGACCUAAGGCAAAGCCGAACGGCGCCGCCGAUGGAAGAAUGGGUUAAUAUUCCCAUACUGCCUCAUGGAGUGACGUGGAGACGGAGAAGUGACAGUCCUGCCGGCUGACGGAAUAGCCGGUUGAAGGGUGUAGAUAUUGAUUCCCGUAGGCAAAUCCGCGGGGAGAGUCGAACCUGAGAGUAUACGGAGCGCUUGCGCAACGUAAUAUGGACGUAACCAUGCUCCCGAGAAAAUCCGCUAAACUUAUCCAUGCGGCACCCGUACCGUAAACGGACACACGUGGUCGGGUUGAGAAUACUGAGGCGCUCGAGUGAUUCACGGUUAAGGAACUAGGCAAAUUGACCCUGUAACUUCGGGAUAAAGGGUCCUCGUCGUAAGGCGAGGCGCAGAGAAUAGGUCCAGGCAACUGUUUAACAAAAACACAUGGCUGUGCUAAAUGGAAACAUGAUGUAUAC
rnacentral:rRNA from 1 species